CCUUAGAGUUUGAUCCUGGCUCAGGACGAACGCUGGCGGCGUGCUUAACACAUGCAAGUCGAACGGAGUACCCUCGAAAGAGAUUUCGGUCAAUGGAGAGGACUACUUAGUGGCGGACGGGUGAGUAACGCGUGAGGAACCUGCCUUUCAGUGGGGGACAACAGUUGGAAACGACUGCUAAUACCGCAUAACGUACUGGUAUCGCAUGGUACUGGUACCAAAGAUUUAUCGCUGAGAGAUGGCCUCGCGUCUGAUUAGCUAGUUGGUAGGGUAACGGCCUACCAAGGCGACGAUCAGUAGCCGGACUGAGAGGUUGGCCGGCCACAUUGGGACUGAGAUACGGCCCAGACUCCUACGGGAGGCAGCAGUGGGGAAUAUUGGGCAAUGGGCGCAAGCCUGACCCAGCAACGCCGCGUGAAGGAAGAAGGCUUUCGGGUUGUAAACUUCUUUUGACAGGGAAGAGCAGAAGACGGUACCUGUCGAAUAAGCCACGGCUAACUACGUGCCAGCAGCCGCGGUAAUACGUAGGUGGCAAGCGUUGUCCGGAUUUACUGGGUGUAAAGGGCGUGUAGCCGGGCUGACAAGUCAGAUGUGAAAUCCGGGGGCUCAACCCCCGAACUGCAUUUGAAACUGUUGGUCUUGAGUAUCGGAGAGGCAGGCGGAAUUCCUAGUGUAGCGGUGAAAUGCGUAGAUAUUAGGAGGAACACCAGUGGCGAAGGCGGCCUGCUGGACGACAACUGACGGUGAGGCGCGAAAGCGUGGGGAGCAAACAGGAUUAGAUACCCUGGUAGUCCACGCUGUAAACGAUGGAUACUAGGUGUGCGGGGACUGACCCCCUGCGUGCCGCAGCUAACGCAAUAAGUAUCCCACCUGGGGAGUACGAUCGCAAGGUUGAAACUCAAAGGAAUUGACGGGGGCCCGCACAAGCGGUGGAUUAUGUGGUUUAAUUCGAUGCAACGCGAAGAACCUUACCAGGGCUUGACAUCCUACUAACGAAGUAGAGAUACAUUAGGUACCCUUCGGGGGAAGUAGAGACAGGUGGUGCAUGGUUGUCGUCAGCUCGUGUCGUGAGAUGUUGGGUUAAGUCCCGCAACGAGCGCAACCCUUAUUGUUAGUUGCUACGCAAGAGCACUCUAGCGAGACUGCCGUUGACAAAACGGAGGAAGGUGGGGACGACGUCAAAUCAUCAUGCCCCUUAUGUCCUGGGCUACACACGUAAUACAAUGGCGGUCAACAGAGGGAUGCAAAACCGUGAGGUGGAGCGAACCCCUAAAAGCCGUCCCAGUUCAGAUCGCAGUCUGCAACCCGAAUGCGUGAAGUCGGCCUCGCUAGUAAUCGCGGAUCAGCAUGCCGCGGUGAAUUCGUUCCCGGGC
rnacentral:rRNA from 1 species